UAAAAGUCGUAACAAGGUUUCCGUAGGUGAACCUGCGGAAGGAUCAUUACCGAGUGAGGGCCCUCUGGGUCCAACCUCCCACCCGUGUCUAUCGUACCUUGUUGCUUCGGCGGGCCCGCCGUUUCGACGGCCGCCGGGGAGGCCCUGCGCCCCCGGGCCCGCGCCCGCCGAAGACCCCAACAUGAACGCUGUUCUGAAAGUAUGCAGUCUGAGUUGAUUAUCGUAAUCAGUUAAAACUUUCAACAACGGAUCUCUUGGUUCCGGCAUCGAUGAAGAACGCAGCGAAAUGCGAUAAGUAAUGUGAAUUGCAGAAUUCAGUGAAUCAUCGAGUCUUUGAACGCACAUUGCGCCCCCUGGUAUUCCGGGGGGCAUGCCUGUCCGAGCGUCAUUGCUGCCCUCAAGCACGGCUUGUGUGUUGGGCCCCCGUCCCCCUCUCCCGGGGGACGGGCCCGAAAGGCAGCGGCGGCACCGCGUCCGGUCCUCGAGCGUAUGGGGCUUUGUCACCUGCUCUGUAGGCCCGGCCGGCGCCAGCCGACACCCAACUUUA
rnacentral:rRNA from 1 species